CCUACGGGAGGCAGCAGUGGGGAAUAUUGCUCAAUGGGGGUACCCCUGAUCCAGCGACGCCGCGUGAGCGAAGAAGUAUCUCGGUAUGUAAAGCUCUAUCAGCAGGGAAGAAAAUGACGGUACCUGAGUAAGAAGCUCCGGAUAAAUACGUGCCAGCAGCCGCGGUAAUACUGACGGAGCAAGCGUUAUCCGGAUUUACUGGGCGUAAAGGGAGCGUAGGCGGCCUGGCAAGUCUGAUGUGAAAUACCGGGGCUCAACCCCGGGGCGGCAGUGGAAACUGGCAGGCUGGAGUGCCGGAGAGGCAGGCGGAAUUCCUGGUGUAGCGGUGAAAUGCGUAGAUAUUAGGAGGAACACCAGUGGCGAAGGCAGCCUGCUGGACGGUGACUGACGCUGAGGCUCGAAAGCGUGGGUAGCGAACAGGAUUAGAUACCCUUGUAGUC
rnacentral:rRNA from 1 species